rnacentral:rRNA from 1 species
GGUAGUCCACGCCGUAAACGAUGUCGACUUGGAGGUUGUGCCCUUGAGGCGUGGCUUCCGGAGCUAACGCGUUAAGUCGACCGCCUGGGGAGUACGGCCGCAAGGUUAAAACACAAAUGAAUUGACGGGGGCCCGCACAAGCGGUGGAGCAUGUGGUUUAAUUCGAUGCAACGCGAAGAACCUUACCUACUCUUGACAUCCAGAGAACUUAGCAGAGAUGCUUUGGUGCCUUCGGGAACUCUGAGACAGGUGCUGCAUGGCUGUCGUCAGCUCGUGUUGUGAAAUGUUGGGUUAAGUCCCGCAACGAGCGCAACCCUUAUCCUUUGUUGCCAGCGGUUAGGCCGGGAACUCAAAGGAGACUGCCAGUGAUAAACUGGAGGAAGGUGGGGAUGACGUCAAGUCAUCAUGGCCCUUACGAGUAGGGCUACACACGUGCUACAAUGGCGCAUACAAAGAGAAGCGACCUCGCGAGAGCAAGCGGACCUCAUAAAGUGCGUCGUAGUCCGGAUUGGAGUCUGCAACUCGACUCCAUGAAGUCGGAAUCGCUAGUAAUCGUAGAUCAGAAUGCUACGGUGAAUACGUUCCCGGGCCUUGUACACACCGCCCGUCACACCAUGGGAGUGGGUUGCAAAAGAAGUAGGUAGCUUAACCUUCGGGAGGGCGCUUACCACUUUGUGAUUCAUGACUGGGGUGAAGUCGUAACAAGGUAACCGUAGGGGAACCUGC